CAGCACCAACAACACCAACAGCACCAACAGCACCAACAGCACCAACAACACCAACAACACCACCACCACCAACACUACCAACAACAACAACAACAACAAUUCUGGCGGCUCAUCUUCUACAGGCAACAAUGCACUGCAGUCCACCUCAGCUAAAGCUCCUCUUGUCCUGCUUGGUGCCAUUGUGGUUGUUCUGUUGUCAGAUGACCUUUGGCCUGUUAAGCUGAUGGAGGAUGUGUACUGAUGUAAGCGUUCACUUUAAUUAAAAACUUGUUUUGGGUAGGUGACGGCAACCUUAGGCAAUGUGCACUGCAGCACUGAAGCAAUAUCCAUCCAAUAUGGUAUCACUUUCAGGACUUUAUACAUACCUGCUGUUAUUGUAACUUCAUUAAAAUUUUGAACUGAGUAUGUUUAUAUUUAAAAAAUGUUUAGCAGUAAACUAUAUCCACCUCCAAGUGCUAAUA